UGGGGAAUAUUGGACAAUGGGGGCAACCCUGAUCCAGCAAUGCCGCGUGUGUGAAGAAGGUCUUCGGAUUGUAAAGCACUUUCGACGGGGACGAUGAUGACGGUACCCGUAGAAGAAGCCCCGGCUAACUUCGUGCCAGCAGCCGCGGUAAUACGAAGGGGGCUAGCGUUGCUCGGAAUGACUGGGCGUAAAGGGCGUGUAGGCGGUUUACACAGUCAGAUGUGAAAUCCCCGGGCUUAACCUGGGAGCUGCAUUUGAUACGUGUAGACUAGAGUGUGAGAGAGGGUUGUGGAAUUCCCAGUGUAGA
rnacentral:rRNA from 1 species